GGGAAGAGCCUCGAGUAGAGGUGACAGACCUACCGAGCCCGGCCAUAGCUGGUUGCCUGAGAACUGGAUAAAAGUUCAGCCUCCCAAAUUCUUCCCUCAUACACAUCUCAUAUAUACACAGACCAAAAGAACUCAGAGAGAGUUAGUCAAAAGGGGGACAGCCCUUUUGACAUAAGACACAACUUUUCCAGGUGGGUACUGAUCACAAUUCACCAAGGGAUAGUAACCCAAGUGGGCCUAAAAGCAGCCAUCUAAAUAGAAAGCGUCCAAGCUCAAUUACAUCCCAAACCCUCAAAUCCCGAUAACCCCUCACAGCCCCCUAAAAGUACCAGGCCCUCUUGUGCCCCCACAAGAGAGACCAUGCUACCACGAGUAAUAAGAGAAAAAUACUUCUCUCCUGACACAAGUGUAAAUCGGAUCGGACCCCCCACCGAAACCCAAUCGGCCCCAAACAAAGAGGGCAAUAAAAAAUACCCACUAAACUAGAAAACCAAUUAAAAACCAACCGUUAACCCCACACUGGUGUGUCCCCAAGGAAAGACUAAAAGAAAGAAAAGGAACUCGGCAAACCAAAGCCUCGCCUGUUUACCAAAAACAUCGCCUCUUGCAAGAAUAAAAAAUAAGAGGUCCCGCCUGCCCACUGACCAAAAUUCAACGGCCGCGGUAUUUUGACCGUGCUAAGGUAGCGUAAUCACUUGUCUUUUAAAUGAAGACCCGUAUGAAAGGCUUAACGAGGGCUUAACUGUCUCCUCUUUCAGGUCAAUGAAACUGAUUUCCCCGUGCAGAAGCGGGGAUAUAAACAUAAGACGAGAAGACCCUAUGGAGCUUUAGACACUGAAGCAGACUAUUUUAAACAAACCUAAACAAGCACUAAAUCUACUAGACAUCUGCUCCAGUCUUAGGUUGGGGCGACCUUGGGGAAACAAAAAACCCCCACGUGGAGGGGGAACCUAUUAGACCACACUCCCCCCAAAAACCCGAAACACAAUUCUAAUUAACAGAACCUCUGACCAAUUGACCCGGCCUUUUAAGGCCGAUUAACGAAACAAGUUACCCUAGGGAUAACAGCGCUAUCCCCUUUUAAAGUCCAUAUAGACAAGGGGGCUUACGACCUCG
rnacentral:rRNA from 1 species